rnacentral:sRNA from 1 species
AUGCGAUGAGUCGAUUGUGGUUUAACCACUUUUGCGCUGGGAGGUCAUUAUGGCAGGAGCCGACCUUGGUAAGUUGUGUGAACCAGCUUACCUCACAUCUGAUGUGCCCUAUCCCUUGCUUUCUAGCGAGGGAUUUUU